rnacentral:lncRNA from 1 species
UCGUCUCCAUAUAUGUACUGCGGAUGGUCGAGUUCUUAAUGUGUCGAGUUCUUAAAUAUUGUAAUAUGCGAAGGGUCGUUGCGUCUCAUGUGUAUGCUGAAAGCUGCAGCCCGGUACGUUAUUAUGUACCUGCCCGAUAAUCAAUGGGAGACAGAUACAGUGAUGUAGUCCUGCACUCUGUGCAGGAGUACCAAAUGGCAUAUACGACAGGAGGUAAAACAAAACAUUUUAAAUGCAAACCUUCUCCGGUCAAGAAAAACCUUCUCUGGUCAAGAAACGGAAGCACGCCAUGUUUGGCUUCCUUCUCUAGGUGCUCGGAAAUUGGAAACCGGCUUUCUGGUACGAGCAGGUUAGGGUGCAUUUCCAGUGCGGAUUAAGGCCAGGGAUUAGGACACGGAAGUCCUUGGUACGAGCUUACCACAUAGUUUUGUUCCAUAAGGGAGCCAAAGGUUGGAAAGGCGAGGUAAGUUUGCCAACAACUUGGCCGUUUGAGCAGGUAUCGAUGGAGGACAGAGGGUUAAUCCGCCACCGCCAUAGGGUUAAUCCCUGGCCUUAAUCCGCACUCUCACCGCCAUAAGAGCGAGGGCUUUCGACGUUUUUUCCUGGCAGCGACCUGGUGCACCAGCCUAAGGCGAAGAAUUACAGGGAUAGAGCUUCGUUUCGGUGUGAAGUUUGGAUCUUCUUCGUGACGUGAGAACCCUAACGGCGGUCAAAUUGAACCUCGGUUGGAUGUAAUGGUGCGUUGCGGUCGCAACCCUGUGCACGGGAUAACAAGCAGUCACUAAGUAAUGCAAGAUUGACCAUGUGUUGAGGAAAAUGUUGUCCGGUCAGUCUGUCGCCUGAUGCUUGCGUGAUACUUGGUUUCUGGAUAGAGUGGAGCCAUCUUCCGUACUUGCUGAUCGACUGUCGAACUCGUCAAUAAAUGGGAAUGAGCCAGCGAUUAUCUUUGGUCUGGCAUGCUUCUAGAGUAGUGAGUUGUGGCUGAGCUGAGCCGUUAGUCGCUUUGUAAACGCUCUGGCAAUCACUAUUGCGUCCGAUCCAUUCAGCCUUCAAGACCAUGUAUUCCUCCGGUGGUGUGAAGUCGGCGGAAACGGCUGAGACGUUCAAGUCUCCGAGGUCGUACGGCGCGACCGCAUGAUAUGGGAGAUGUCACUGAAACUGCAAGCGUUCCUGUAUUCAUAUUCUUCCUAGUUUACUAUGUGUAAAAUCAUGCUUCUUGUCGAGGUCUGAUGGAUUUCAAACGUUUUUCGUCGUCUCGGCUUUCGUCGACCUUCUGGCCAGAUCGAUUGCGUAAUCCAUUGCCGUAAUC